UCAGGUCGUUGGUCAGUUUUACUUGAGUGGUGCUAUGGCUUCCUGUGUUCCCAGUGCGCUUGUUUUUACUGUGGAUUUUUAUUUACCAUGAUGCAGGCAAUGAUGAUACAGAUUACCUGGAGAAGGAGGCAGAACUGAGAGCCAUCAAUCAUGCAGCAGACUGAGGGUCUCCUUCCUUGCCGAAUGUGCUUGGACCUUGCUGCUUUGUUUCCUGAGUCACGCAUGGCUACCUCUCCGUUCACCUCCCUUGAGCCUCAACGCCUGACACUCCCCAGCACCCUGCAGAGGAUCGAGAAUCCCUUCAGCACAAACACACUAGUGAUUCAUGAGUGAGUUUUUUGCAUGUCCUUCAUUGUGCCUCAAAGUCCACAUUUUUUUAUUUUUAGGCCACCGGAGGGCAGAGGAGCUCUACACACAUGUCCUCCAAAAACUAUAAUCUAUUGAUUGACUUUUAAUCAUAUUAUUAGUCUAUUAUUUAAACAUCAUGCAGUCCCAGAGCUACAUCAUAACUCAUCUGAAGCCGGGCUAUAGUCAGUCAGUCUGAAAAAAUCUCGUCCAAUAAUCAGGUUGUUUUGUUUUGACUGAAAAAAAUAUUGAUUUCCAUCUGAAUUGUUUUUUUGGAUGAGUGUUGGUGAUAUGUGGAUGUGAAAAAGUUUCCAGGAUUUUAACCUCUCCUUCAAAAUGUAUUUUUAACUCUGCACAGAAAUGACAGUUUUAUAAGCCUUCCAGACAAGACUUUUAAAAGAUUUGUUACAGAAUUGUUACACUUCUGUGAAAAUCUAUCGCAUAGAACUCUUUAUUAAAUACAACUUUUAUUAAACCAUCAGCAACGUCAACGCCAUGUCAAAUUAAUAACAAUUAAACAUCAAGUGUUUUUAUUGUGUUAUAUUCUCAUAAAGGUGCUAUGCAAAUGAAAUACCCUCUGAAGAAAUAUCAUGCAGAUAGUGUCACAUUUAAAUGAACAUGAUGUAGAUACAUUGUGAAUGAACCUGGAAAGCUUGAAAAUUUAGAGACUGGAAAAAAAUGAAAACUUUUCAUUGAAGACAUAUUUCUUUUGCUUUCUAAUAAAACAAGGGAUCUUGAG